CCAAUCGCCGGUCCUCCUGUCGUCUCUGAGCACACGGGCGGCCACGCCACCCAGCCCUCUCGCACCCACGCAGGGCUGUGUGACCAGCUCUGGCCGGCAGGUGGUAAGCAGAGGUGACAUGUUCCACUUCCAGGUCUGAGCAUCCAAGAGCAGAAGCCGGUACCUGUCACUUCUCUCGCGGCCUGUGGCGGAUGAGGUGUGGUGUCACACGGUGGAGCGCGAGACAGGCAGCCAGGGGCUGGGUGUCCGCACGGGCGCGGCUGCCCCGGCCGUGGGUGGGCUCUUAGUUGGCUAUGGCAACUCAAGAAUUAAAGCUUUCAUAACAGCCCCAAAGCAAAACCACAUAAAUGUCCGUCGACUGAUAAGUAAACAAAAUGCAGUCUGUCCAUAGACCACCAUGGAAUAUUAUUCAGCAAUAAGAAGGAAAGACUACUAACAUCUGCUACAACAUGGGGAGCCUCGAAACGCUGUGCGAAGUGAAGGAGGCCAGACACAGAGGGCCACACAGGCUAUGGCUCCAUGUCUAUGAAAUGUGCAGAGUGGGCAAAGACAGAGACAGAAAGCAGAGUAAUGACUGCCCAGGGCCGGGCUGGGAGAGGUCCUCAGGAGUGACUGCUAGCAAGUAUAGGGUUUUGUUUUGGAGUGAUGAUGGCCUAAAAUUAGAUAAUGAAGAUGGUCGCACAAUUCUGUGAACAUACUAACAGCCGUUUAACUGUACAGCUUAAAUGGGUGAAUUUUAUGAUAUAUUAAUUUUAUCUAAUAUAGUUAGUUGUCUUAUAAAAAAGAAAUGUUUUUGUUGUGUUCAACCACUGAGUUUCAGGGCUAAUUUAAUAAUACCUUAGCAUGAUCUGGUCUAUCCUAGAUAAAAACCCUGCCCCAUGCCGACGUGUCCGUGGUCAGCCCAGGCUGUAAUAAAGUGAACAUAAGCUACUACGGGGGAGGGGAAGCUGUGUGGCCUUCGGUCGCCGUGGCCGGGUGUGGGUGGCUCCGGGUGGGCUCGCGUCACCCUGGCCUGGCUGCGGGCAUCCGCGCGCCCCGACGGAUUGGAUGGCUUGGGCUACCGCGGUGGUGCCCGGGACGAGCAGGGUUUUGGCGGCGCCUUCCCUGCAAGGUCCUUCAGCUCCGGGUCGGACCUGGGCCACUGGGUGACGACUCCCCCAGACAUCCCCGCAGCCGCGACCUGCAGGGGCGAGAGGAGCCGGGCCCACGGAGUGCCCUCCGCUCCACCCGUACGCAGGCCCCCAGAGGAACCUUGCCCCGGCUCGGCGGCGGCAGCGUGCAGGGCAGAGCAGUGAACAGUUGGAUAGAUUUGCUGGAUUUGGUAUUGGACUUGCAAGUCUCUGCACAGAAAAUGUACUGGCCCAUCCUUGCAUUGUUCUACGCCGCCAAUGUCAGGUCAAUUACCAUGCUCGGCAUUGUCAUCUCACUCCAUUUACAGUCAUCAAUAUCAUGUACAGCUUCAACAAAACUCAGGGACCAAGAGCCCUAUGGAAAGGAAUGGGAAGUACAUUUAUUGUCCAGGGUGUCACACUUGGAGCAGAAGGCAUAAUUAGUGAAUUCACACCUUUGCCAAGAGAGAUUUCACACAAAUGGAAUCCUAAACAAAUAGGAGAACACCUUCUACUGAAAUCUCUAACUUACAUAGUGGCAAUGCCAUUUUAUUCAGCAGGUCUAAUUGAAACAGUACAGAGUGAGAUAAUGCUGGCAUUUUGGAAUGUGUUAAAGAAGGAAUUGGAAGAGUGAUGGGCAUGGGAGUGCCUCAUAGCAAACGACUUCUUCCUCUUCUUUCCUUGAUCUUCCCUAUGGUGCUUCAUGGAGUUCUUCAUUACAUCAUUAGUUCAGUUAUUCAGAAGUUUUUCCUACUCGUUCUAAAGAGAAAGACUUGUAAUAGCCACCUAGCUGAGAGCACUAGCCCUGUACAGAAUAUGCUGGAUGCUUAUUUUCCAGAACUUAUUGCUAACUUUGCAGCCAGUCUUUGUUCUGAUGUUAUACUUUACCCAUUGGAAACAGUUUUGCACCGCCUUCACAUUCAAGGAACACGCGCAAUAAUUGACAACACAGACCUUGGCUAUGAAGUGCUUCCAAUUAAUACACAGUAUCAGGGAAUGAGAGACUGUAUCAAUACCAUAAAGCAGGAGGAAGGAGUGCUUGGAUUUUAUAAAGGGUUUGGUGCUGUUAUAAUACAGUACACACUGCAUGCAGCCGUUUUACAGAUUACCAAAAUUAUUUACUCUACACUUCUUCAAAAUAGCGUUUGAGAUUUAGGUUCCAUCACUGGUUAGUCCAGAAGAAAUAAUCUGGAUACUUUACUAUGAAAUUAUGAGGGAUAAAAGUGAAAUACUGGGGGGAAAAUGGAUUGGAAAGUGAAAUUGCUUUUAAAAAAAAGCCUGUGCCCAUGCUGAUUAUCUUGACUCUUCAUUUUUUAUAAGGAAUAGGUAUAUAUUUGGAUCACAGUGCUUCCAAAUUUGGAAACUCAAUAAAAGUAACACUUAAACAAAUUAAAUUCUAGUUAGCGAAAUACUCAUGCUGAAGUAAAAAUGAUCGUGGGCAGAAGUAAAACUUUAUCAAAUAUAAAACAAAAUUUCAUAGAGCUGAACCUAUUGGAAUAUUUGUUACGUGUUUAUUUUACCUUCCAGAUUGAUGUUAGUAUAUUAUCCUUAAUAUAAUCUGGAUAUUUUACUUUUAAGCAAAUAAAUUAUAUCAUCAUUGAAAAGGACUAAGAGGAUUAUAUUUGGCAAUCUGUAUGUAGGAGAUGAAGGAUUUUAAAUUGCAUUGUCCCUAUAUGACAAUUUUAAUGGCUGUAUAUAUGUAUUUUACAAAGCCAUUUGUGUACACAUAUGUGACUUCGAAUUUCCUUCAUCUCUGUAAGUUUUCUAUACUUAGGUCAGCUUAUUGCAUAAAAUUAAGUCAUGUAUUUUCUGCUUGAACAUCAGAAUACAGCAUAAAAAGCCAAGGUACCCAAAUGAUGUUAAGUCAAAUAUAGCAUACUUGUCCAUAUCCAAACCCAGGAUUUCAGUGCCAGAAACUUAAAAAUUCGCCAUGUUUAUAAAGUUUGGUUUGUUUAGCUAGUUGUAUGAAUCGUCAGGCUACUUUUAGAGCCAAUCUUAAGAGAGAAUAUAAAAUAAUCAUGACAACUAUUACUGUUUCCACAUUUACAAAUUGUGUACUUAAAGGAACCUCAUUUGCCUUUCAUUUCUGAAUGGCUUGUCUUAGAGGAAACAAAAUUAAAAUUCACCUGGGAAUUUGUGCCUCUUACCUACUAUAUAGUCAUCAUUAAAUAAUGGCUUCAAUUUUUUUUUUCUUUCAGAUUUUACUUAAGGUUUUGUUUUCCAAACUAGAUAUACAUAAAGGGAAAAGCAAGUUUUUCUUAUCACCUUUUAUUUAAACGUGUUUGGAUGAAUACUGAAGAAAAAAUACAUACCUUAAAGGAAACUUAUCCAUGUGUUUUAUGGAGGAGGGGGAAAAGUACAUUUCAAUAGAUAAGCAAAAAAAAAUUAUUAAUCAGUUUAAUAAAAAAAAUUCUGUCCCUAAAU